AAAACUACUGUUAGAAGAAACAAAGUUAGGAAUCUCAUACCGAGUGUAUGCAAUCAAGUUGCUUUUCUGAUUACUCAUGACUUUCAUCUCUCUACGCUUCAAGGGAUUUCCUUUUUUCACAAAUGGCUUUUCCUGAAGCCUUAAGUCCUAUUUCCAUUGUUUUGAUUGAUUCUUCCUGCACAAAACAUGUUGUUUGUGCCAGUGACCACAAGAGGACACAAUUUCCUAGAGAACUUUGUUUUAAAAGAAACGUACCCAAGACGAUGACUGACAAAAUAGCAAAAAUACUGCACAAUCUGUGACUGUCAUUUUGGAUACAUUCCUAAUCACAUUUUCAGAGACCCUGCUGGAGGAACUGAGCAGUGGACCAAAAGAGCUGGAAAGAGAAGAGAAAAAGACAAGAAAAAAAGAACAGAGUGAGAAUAAGGAGGAGAUCAAGAGAGAAAAGAAUGUGAAAGGAGUGAAAGAGAGACUGGAACAACUGACCAAGACUGACAGAGAAAAAGAAUGAGGCUUAAUAUGUAGGGGUCAAUGAUAAAAGGCUUAAAUCACAAGAGACAGAAAG